rnacentral:rRNA from 1 species
ACCUACGGGAGGCAGCAGUGAGGAAUAUUGGUCAAUGGGCGAGAGCCUGAACCAGCCAAGCCGCGUGAGGGAAGACGGCCCUAUGGAUUGUAAACCUCUUUUGUCGGGGAACAAAACCCGGGACGAGUCCCCGACUGCGUGUAUCCGAAGAAAAAGCAUCGGCUAACUCCGUGCCAGCAGCCGCGGUAAUACGGAGGAUGCGAGCGUUAUCCGGAUUUAUUGGGUUUAAAGGGUGCGUAGGCGGUCCGUUAAGUCAGCGGUAAAA